rnacentral:misc_RNA from 1 species
GAUUAAGAACGUAGCGAAAUGCGAUAAGUAGUGUGAAUUGCAGAAUUCCGUGAAUCAUCGAAUCUUUGAACGCACAUUGCGCCUCCUGGUAGUCCGGGAGGCAUGCCUGUUCGAGCGUCACCAAAUCCAACUCAAGCGGUUUUGCGCUUGGUCGUGGCGGAAGAGUCGGUCUGGUUGCCGUCUCCCCUCCGAAAAUCAACGGCGGAAAGUCACUGGCAGUCAGCGUAGUAGUAUCGUUCGCCGAACAUCCAGUGGCAUUCCUGCCGACGUACCCCCACAAUUCUCGUGAUUGACCUCGGAUCAGGUAGGGAUACCCGCUGAACUUAAGCAUAUCAAUAAGCGGAGGA